UACGGAGGGUGCAAACGUUGUUCGGAAUUACUGGGCGUAAGCGCGCGUAGGCGGUUUGUUAAGUCAGAUGUGAAAGUCCACAGCUCAACUGUGGAAGUGCAUUUGAAACUGGCAGACUUGAGUACUGGAGGGGGUGGUGGAAUUCCCGGUGUAGAGGUGAAAUUCGUAGAUAUCGGGAGGAAUACCGGUGGCGAAGGCGACCACCUGGCCAGAUACUGACGCUGAGGUGCGAAAGCGUGGGGAGCAAACAGGAUUAGAUACCCUUGUAGUCC
rnacentral:rRNA from 1 species